AGGUCUGUCGCCAAGCGGUAAGGGAACGGGUUUUUAUCCCGUCAUACCCAGGUUCGAAUCCUGGCAGACCUGCCA
rnacentral:tRNA from 1 species